rnacentral:rRNA from 1 species
UGCAGUCGAACGGUGAAGCCCAGCUUGCUGGGUGGAUCAGUGGCGAACGGGUGAGUAACACGUGAGCAACCUGCCCCGGACUCUGGGAUAAGCGCUGGAAACGGCGUCUAAUACUGGAUACGAACCACAGUCGCAUGGCUAGUGGUUGGAAAGAUUUUUCGGUCUGGGAUGGGCUCGCGGCCUAUCAGCUUGUUGGUGAGGUAAUGGCUCACCAAGGCGUCGACGGGUAGCCGGCCUGAGAGGGUGACCGGCCACACUGGGACUGAGACACGGCCCAGACUCCUACGGGAGGCAGCAGUGGGGAAUAUUGCACAAUGGGCGCAAGCCUGAUGCAGCAACGCCGCGUGAGGGACGACGGCCUUCGGGUUGUAAACCUCUUUUAGCAAGGAAGAAGCGAAAGUGACGGUACUUGCAGAAAAAGCGCCGGCUAACUACGUGCCAGCAGCCGCGGUAAUACGUAGGGCGCAAGCGUUAUCCGGAAUUAUUGGGCGUAAAGAGCUCGUAGGCGGUUUGUCGCGUCUGCUGUGAAAACCCGAGGCUCAACCUCGGGCCUGCAGUGGGUACGGGCAGACUAGAGUGCGGUAGGGGAGAUUGGAAUUCCUGGUGUAGCGGUGGAAUGCGCAGAUAUCAGGAGGAACACCGAUGGCGAAGGCAGAUCUCUGGGCCGUAACUGACGCUGAGGAGCGAAAGGGUGGGGAGCAAACAGGCUUAGAUACCCUGGUAGUCCACCCCGUAAACGUUGGGAACUAGUUGUGGGGUCCAUUCCACGGAUUCCGUGACGCAGCUAACGCAUUAAGUUCCCCGCCUGGGGAGUACGGCCGCAAGGCUAAAACUCAAAGGAAUUGACGG